AGUUGCUGAAGGAAAAUGAUGAGUUAUUGCAAAGGAAUUGAGAAAAAGAAAAGAGCGGGACAACUGAACUGAGAAUGGAAGCAUUGCUGACGACUUUCUUCUGGCUAUAAUCUUGUCAGAAGCCAUGUUUUACAGAGAAAAUCUGCCACUUGGGAGUGGAGUAGCUGGACUGUUAGUGAUUGAAGCGCUCAUGGAUAUUGCAGAUAUUAGAGGCAAAGCUGUCUCGGCUAUCUUGUAUAUCUCAUCUGUCUUAAUCCUCGGAAAUGGAUUUGCUGGAUUGUUCGUGAUCGAAGU